ensembl:lncRNA
GAUUUGGAUUUUUAUUUGAUGCUGAAUAAUAUUUUCUUCAUGUCAGGUUUUGAUUCAUUUGAAUGAAGUAUACUUUAGUCGUUUAGUUUUACUUUGAUGCUAUAAUAGAUGUUUUUAAAAUUCAGUUAAAUUCAAGAUUAUAUAGCAUCACGGCAAAACAACAGUCUCCUCAUGGUGCUUUAUACUGUAGGGUGAAAACCACUCCAGGCCUCGAGAGCUGAUGUCCUGCAGGUUUUAGAUAACACCCUCGGUCAACACACCUGAAUCAAAUGAUCACUUCAUUACCAGGCCUCUGAAGAACUUCAAGAAAUGUUGAGGAGGUAAUGUAGCCAUUUACAUCAGCUGUGAUGGAUCAAGGACACAUCUAAAACCUGCAGGACACCGGCUCUUGAGGCCUGGAGUUGGCCACCCCUGUCCUACCAAGAAAAAACCCAACAAUCAAAAGAUCCCCUUUGAGCAAGCACUUGGCGACAGUGGGGAGGAAAAACUCCCUUUAAUAGGAAGAAACCUCCAGCAGAACCCGGCUCAAGAAGGGGCGGCCAUCUGCUGUGGCCGGUUGGGGGGGUGAAAAGAAAAUAUAGGGAGACAAGAUGAAGUAUACUUCUGAUGGCCAAAUGCUUCAAGAUCUUUAAAGAAGCAUGCUAGUGGGGAAAAAAGUCAAGAUGGUCAUUUAGUCAUCACUGCUGCCCUUAAAGCAGCAGCUGAACGGCUUCAUUAAAGCUUUUCCCACUGCUCGAAAGAACCUAGCAAUUUUAGACUUCAUUGGGGGAUUGAGUACAACCUCAAUAAUGAUUUCCAGAUGAGCCAGAAAAAGCUGAGCAAAUGUUGAAUCAUCUGGUGUAAGAGCAGAAUGUACGAACUGAUCUAAAGAGCCAAGCUCCUUUCUAAGGGCUUUAGUCAUUUUCUUUACAAUCUGAAGUUUGUUAUUUUCAAGAGCACUCAGAUAUUCUGAGCUUCUGACGUUAUCUAAAACCAGAUGUGUAAGACGCCUGGUGAUGGCCUUUCUUUUUUCUGUAUUCACUGUCUUUCUUGUGUCAAAACUGCAUUUCUCGAGGAGACUCGGUAACAGAACGGCGCUGAAGUCUUUGGCAAUUUUCUCAGCAGCAAAAGGUGAUAUAAAAAAUUCUGAAGGUUCCUCCUGUAAGUUUUUAGAGAUUGAUGGCUGACUUUGACCUUCUGUAGGCCCAGUGUCAGCGACUGGCUCAGGCUCAGGGCUUUUUUCUGGAGGUAGGUCCUGCUCUAUUACACUCACACAGGAGAUGGGUUGAUUUUUGUGAGGAGAAACUGGACUUGACUCUGGUUCAGACAGUCUGUCGCGUUCUCUUUGCUCUGUUGGGGUUAGUGCUCGUAAAAUCACAUCCUGGAUGUCUUCCACGGCACCAGAAACUUUGUCACUUUGGACAGUUUCAUCCAAAGCAUCAUUCUCUAACCACAGAAGAAUGUUUUGCAAAAACUUUUGCACUGAGUCUUCUACAAUUACAUAGAGGACUUCGGGCGAAAAGGGUAACUCACCUGUUGGCUCUGGAGACCUAGAAAUCACAGAGUCUGAAAGACUUCUUCCCAGUAGCAUCACAGGGAGUGAAUAUCUUUGAGUUGACUGGAGAUGGUCAUAAAUUUUAUCUGUCAACUCCCUGCAAAACGUCUCAACUUCAACAAAUGCAUUUACGUUUUCCAUGGGUUUCUGGAUAAGGUUAACGUGUUUUGUCCGUUUUAAUUUAUUAAACAGUUGAUCAAGAUAAGGGUUGAAAGUGGUAAAAUCAACUGAGGAAGAACUUUUAAACCUGGUAUGCAUAGUUGGUGUGUUUACAUAGCUACAGAAAGAACUGUAGCUGUCCAUAGAAUCUGUUCUCUGAUUAUCAGGUGACUUGACCGGAUCUUGGAGACAGAUGAAGAACCUUUUGUUUUUCUUCACCAGGUGUUUUAUCUCUCUUAUCAUUUUAUAAAACUGCUUUUUGGCAAAGCUGCAGAAGUGGUCUUUGUGCAGCUUUUGUUCAUUGGUUUUUAGGGGUGGGAUGCAUGAGGCAAAAAAGUUUUUCACCUUCUGGAUAAUUAUCUGCACAUUAAAAGGUUUGCAUGAGCCACAUUUGUUACUAGAUGUGACAUCUUCACCAUCAGAAGACUGCAGAUUAUCAAUUACUGUGUUUACAAUAUCAGCUGCAGCUAUUUCUGCUGGCGUGCUGGGAGGCUGCAGACUUUCAGCAGCCACAGCAUCUGUGCACUUCAGAUUGUCAAGUAUUUUAUUGACAGCAUCGGCUGCGAUCACUUUGGUUAGACUUUCCAUUUUGUCCUCAGUGAUUGCUGCAUCUGUGCUCCAUUUGGUGAGAGCAAUGCUGACCUCAUCAAGUGUCACCCUCUCACGGAUCUUUGAUUUAGUACUCUCUGCACUUGAAUCAGAGGGACUAGGGACCUUUCGCAUGCACAGGCAGCUUAGCUUACCUGCACAUCUCUUCAGAUACGAGGCUGCAUGAGAGACCAUGCGUCGAAGGUUUUUUAUGCAUGUAAUUUUUCCGCUGACAUAAACAGCGGGAUCUGACCGUAAAUCCGGGUUGUUUAAAAGUAGAGUCACAGCCGAGUUGACCUUUUCUGAAAUCUCCAUUUCAAUCAGUUUUGUCAGCGUCUUAAUGGACUCAUACUUGUCAUGGGGGAUGUUAAGAGAGAUGGCAAUGCUCAUUGAGAGAGAGUGUCCCAGCGACGGAGCUAUUUUUACCACAGGUAGGUUAAUAUCUGUUUGGGACCCAUGUGUCAUAAACUUCUGAAAUACGGGAAGUGCCGAGUUCAGGAUGCCAGUAGAAACUGUCUGAAUUAUUUCAGUUAUCAUGUCAGCCAGUGCUGCUUGGAGAUCAGGGUCCCAGACUCCAUGUUCAAUCAUCCCCCAUUGUACUCGGGAGAACCGAUUGAAACACUCGCUGACAGCAGGUAAGAUAUUCUCUGGAGUAAUGAGGACAGAGACUACAGUCUGAAAUUCAGCCAUUGUGGACUCUCUGGAUUUUUCCUCAUUGUCUUUGAGUUUGCACUGCAUGUCUCUUUGCUUUAUGUCUUGUUCUUCCUUCUGUUGAAGGAUUUCUCUAUUUUUUUCCAGCACUUUGUAGAGGUUUUCUUGGAGCUCCUCAUUAAUUUUGUCUUUGUGUUCGAGCUUUUCUUUUAACUCGUCUAUAGUAGCACUAUCUGCAUCAAACUGAUCGGACAGUUGUUGUAAAAGUAAGAUCUGUUCCUUGUCGUUUUUUCUCAGGGAAUAAAUCUCAUUUCGGGCUUCAUCAAACCUGAUUCCCCAGCCUUCAUUAAUGAUCUCUAUGUCAGGCUGGCGUUUAAUUUGUGCUUCCAUUUCUAUGCACUUCUCCUGUAGUCGAAGUAUCUCUUCUUCAGCUCGUUUAAGUUUGUUUUGUAGAUCGUAUUUUUCCUUCCUCCUUUUCUCUAAUGCCCUUCGGAUGUUUAAGAUUCUUCUUUUAUUCUUUAUUCUUUUUGGGAUUUUUACAACUUUUUUUAUUUGAUUGACAGAGCGAAGAGAGGACAGGGAUGCGUUUUGUCGUUUUUGUGGAUUCAUGGCUGUAUACACUACAGUGACUUUGAACAGGUUUUCAAAUGUUUCUCUGGUGAACGUUUGAAUGCUGUGAAAACACUGAGUAAAAAUUGCUGCUUCUCGGUCCUAUUUAAGGAAAAACUUCAAAGGAUCUUAAAUAAGAUUCUAAAUUUGACUUUAUGACAUCAUCACUCUAAACCAAGGAGUGAUGAUGUCAUAAAGAAAAGGUCACAUGACAUUUUGCCUGGGCGGUGCCUAAAGGCCGUCCGCUGUAAGUGUUUAAACCAACAGUCAUUGGUUUAAACCUUUCCAAAAGGUUGAUUCUGUUUUCAGUGAUAGAAACGUUUCGUCACUCAUCCAAGGGACUUCAGUCUCAGCUGACUGCAGGUUUCCCCCAACCUUAUAAACGGUACACUUGCACAAUAACUGAAACCAGCCCAGUGAAUGAACAGUGAGGUCAGUUCCUUGAUUAUUAGUAUGCAAAGCAAGACAUGUUUGAACAUUAAAUGUCCUCGUGUUCGGAGCAGCCUAAUGGAUGCGCUGAAGGAUUAAGGACAUACAGAGGUCAGCAGCGGAUAGUGAGGACAGCAGAGAGGAUCAUUGGAGGCCCUCUCCUGCCCAUCUCCCAACUCUACGACAAACACAUCAUCCGACGUGUGAAGGACACUUUCCACCCCUCACAUGCACUGUUCAUCUGGCAGAUGGUUUCACAGCAUCAAAACCGUAACGGCCAGACACUGCAAGAGCUUCCUCCCACAAGCAGUCAGAGCACUCAACUCACUACCACCAAAUGACUAUAUGUGUGUGUGUGUGUGUGUGUGUGUGUGUGUAUACAUAUAUAAAAAAAAACACCCAGCACGCCCCUGCGGGCGGUUUAUCCUUCAAGCUCGGGUCCUCUACCAGAGGCCUGGGAGCUUGAGGGUCCUGCGCAGUAUCUUAGCUGUUCCCAGGACUGCGCUCUUCUGGACAGAGAUCUCCGAUGUUGUUCCCGGGAUCUGCUGGAGCCACUCGCCUAGCUUGGGAGUCACCGCACCUAGUGCUCCGAUUACCACGGGGACCACCGUUACCUUCACCCUCC